rnacentral:precursor_RNA from 1 species
CCGGAUUGUGUGUGUGAAUGUGUUCCAAGUUUAGUUCGAGUACGCAUACAAAUUAGCUGAUAUCAAGAGAGCUUAGGACUUAUUCGGUUUGAAGGAAUUUCCAUCCAUAGAAAAAGGGAAAAUAUAGAAAUAGAAAUGCAUGCAUGAAUUUUCCAAAAGAUUUAAGUGGAUAAAAAUUUCUUUAUGUCUUCUCUCUACAACUCAUAGAUAUUCUCCUGUGCUUACAAUCCUACAAACUAAAUAACACUCAUAUAAAUUAAUUCGUAGAAAUCUAAACACACUGUCGAUUGAGAUCAUAUUAUCAGAGAGACGGGUAUACGUACGCACCUGAUCAACAAAAUAGCUGCAUUUCCCUCUCGCAUUCCUCGAUCUCUUGCACUGGCUAUAUUAGCUGGGUACGUACUGACUCUGUUCGUGGUGUGUUCCAUAGCUUUGUGUGCCCAACAGGGAAGGAGUGAAACUGUCACAGCAUGAUCUAACCAUCACGUACUCAGAAGAAGCCUCAGCUAGCCGCCUUCCUGUUCGAAACCAGCGAGCUGAGCUGAUUUCUUGUCUGCAAGUUAGAUCAUGCUGGCAGCUUCACGCUUUCUCUUGGGCACCGGAGGAUCGAUUCGAUUCGAUCGACAUUGACACUCUCUCGCGCACCCAGCUAGCUGCUCGUUUAUAAAGACGGCGAAUCCAUCGACGAAGAAGAGGACGAGGAGGAGGAGGAGGAGGAGGGGAUCGAGCGGUGACAUGCACAUGGGGG